rnacentral:rRNA from 1 species
GAUGAACGCUGGCGGCAUGCCUAACACAUGCAAGUCGAUCGGUAAGGCUCUUCGGAGUACACGAGAGGCGGACGGCUGAGUAACGCGUAGGAACACACCCUGCAGUGAGGGAUAAGACACCUAAAGGUGUUCUAAUACCGCAUACGGUCUUCGGAUUAAAGCAUUUAUGCGCUGAAGGAGUGGCCUGCGUCAUAUUAGAUAGUUGGUGAGGUAAUGGCUCACCAAGUCGAUGAUGUGUAGCUGGUCUGAGAGGAUGAUCAGCCAGACUGGAACUGAGACACGGUCCAGACUCCUACGGGAGGCAGCAGUGAGGAAUAUUUCACAAUGAGCGAAAGCCUGAUGCAGCAAUGCCGCGUGAAGGAUGAAGGCCCUAGGGUUGUAAACUGCUUUUACCCGAGAAGAUUAUGACGGUACCUUAUGAAUAAGCGCCGGCUAACUCCGUG